GUCUCUUCAAGGCUUUUAAUUCAAUCUAAGCAACACUGUUUACUAAUGGCUGGUAUUUCUGAAGCAAUACAGGCUUUUGAGUUGUAGGAAUGUUACAUGUUCCAGAGCUCUGCAGGAAAUGAAAAAUGCCAGUGUAACUAAUACAUCUAUGAAGAAUUACAACUAACAACAUUCCCAGGUGGUGCCGGUGUGCAGCAGCAGCAAUGGGUGGUGAUGGCGAUGAUGAGUGGUGGCGAUCUCCGCAGCCUGGAACAGCUGAUAGACGGUAUUCCAGGAGGACGAUCCAACUGCCAAUCAGCUGCUCGUGCUAAAUCAGGCUGUGCUGAAGCUGACCAUGCUGUUUGUUGUUUAUUGCAAGGAGGCAAAUUGAUGGGAGGCCGAAGCAGAAGGGUGGGGCUGGUGGACGGGGCUUUGGCAACAUUCACUAUAUAAGAUGCACAGACAUUUCCGCCCACUUUUUGAGGGUAGGGAAAAGUAUGUCUUAUACAUUGAAAAAUACUCAUCACACUUGAGUUUGAUUUAUAAUAAUACGCAGGUGGCAAACCUCUUUUUAUACUUUUGUUAGCUCAUCAGAUAGGCCACUACGCAACAAAAUAAACAGGAUGGCCUGAAAUGCCAUGCCCCAGGGACAGAUUUUUUUAAAAAAAAAUAUUAUAAGUAAUAUGCAUUAGUAUCAAAUGCUGACAAUAUUAUAAAAAUCACAGCAUCCAAAUUAUCAAUUGGCUGAAUUUAUCACUGCAUAAUGCAGCAUCUGUGUACUGCUUCAAGAGAUCCUUCACAGUUUUGGCAAAUCAAAUCAUACCUGACUUCUGCUAGCAUUUCAUACUUAUCUGUUUGCAUAUUUAUUUAUUCUUUCAAUAAACCGAUGCUCCACGGAAUAAUGCAGCAUAGAGAGACAAUCUAUAAUAAAAAUCUUGCUAUAAUGGGAUAAAUUUCCAUGUACUCACACAGCACGAUUGCUUUUCUUCUCGAAGUGCAGUCAUGCAUAUCCAAAGGGCAGCAGAGAAUCAAAGCUUCAAAGCCAGAGGUCAGUGCAGCCUCACCCUUUUAAAGCUCUUAAGUAGGAUCAUACAUAAAGUGCCUCAUCUUUUUUUUAAAAAAAAUAUCUUAAAUAGAAUCAAAUACAGUUCUUAGAUAGGAUGAACACAUUUAAGAUAGCAUUGUGUUUUCUUUACAGUGACUAUUCAACUGUUAAGACAGAGACAGACUAGUUUAUUAAAUAAUGUUUAGGGAGAUAAUGAUGCUUUUUUUCAGUUUGACUCCCCUUGCUUUACACGGGGAUGCAUCAGGAAAGCAGAAUCCUUUACUUCCUGCAUCCAUAAAUAUCCAUAUUUAUAUCUAACUUACUAUAAAUCAUAUCUAUAAUUCUGUUACUUUAAUUUAGACAACGAUGAAGGAGUAUAUGAAUCAAUAUGGAUAAGUAUUGGCUAUUUGCUUUUAUUAUGAAUUGCUUAUGUUACAAUAUAAUUGUUACAUGGGAAUAUCAGGCCCCAUAGAUAAAGGAACCAAAGUAGGGAGUUUUCCUGGCUGAUAAAUCCUUAAAGCAUUCUGCC